ensembl:lncRNA
CAAAUCAUCCCACCCUCGCCCUCUCCCACAGAGUCCAAAAGACUGUUCUAUACAUCUGUGUCUCUUCUGUUCUCUCCGCAUACAGGGUUAUUGUUACCAUCUUUGUAAAUUCCAUAUAUAUGCGUUAGUAUACUGUAUUGGUGUUUUUCUUUCUGGCUUACUUCACUCUGCAAAAUCGGCUCCAGUCUCAGCCACCUCAUUAGAACUGAUUCAAAUGUAUUCUUUUUAAUGGCUGAGUAAUACUCCAUUGUGUAUAUGUACGACAGUUUCAUAUCCAUUCAUCUGCUGAUGGACAUCUAGGUUGCUUCCAUUCGGACUCAACUGAGCGACUUCACUUUGUUUCUCCCCUCAUCUAUGGUUUCACUUUCCACGGUUUCAAUUACCCGUGCUCAACUGUGGCCCAAAAAUGUUAAAUGGAAAAUUCUAGAAAGGCGCAAUUCCCCAGUUUUGCAUUUCGUGGUAUUCUAAGUGGCAUAAGGAAAUCUCACGCUGUCCCACUCUGUCCCCCUGGGAUUCCCUGGGUCAGUGAUCCAGGACCACCUACAGCAGAUGACCCUCCUCCUGACACAUCAACAGGUCAGUAGGAGCCUAACGUGACAUCUCAGUGUCUAUGUCAUUCGGUCACUUUAUCUCGUGUAGGCAUUUUAUCAUCGCAUGUCAUCACAGGAAGGAUGAGUACAGUAUAAGACAAUAUUUUGACAGAGAAAGAGAGAUCGUAUUUAUAUAACUUUUAUUCCAGUGAAUUGUUAUAAUUGUUUUAUUUUAUUAUUAGUUAUUGUUGUUUAUCUCUUACUGCGCCUAAUUUAUAAAUUAAACUUUAUCAUAGGGGUAUUUGUAUAGGAAAAAAAUAUAGCAUAUAUAAGGUUCAGUACUGACUGCAGUUUUAGGCAUCCACUGGGGGUCUUGGAAUGUAUCCCUCUCUGAUAAGGGGGACUAGUGUGUGUGUGUGUACACACACACACACGUAUGUGUGUGCAUGCACAAGAUAUAAGAUGUAUGCUUAUCUGUCUAACUGGAGGGCCCUGGCUGAUUCACCCCUCAUUCUUUUAGGCCCAGUGGGGAGCCAGUGUCACCCUUGCCCCUCUUGGGAGGACAGCUCAGGCUCCCAGGUGUGUUCUCCAGGUCCUUUGCUGAUGAGCAUCUCCAGGGCCUGACCUCGAAGAUUGAGUACUGAGCUGUCUGCCUCUCCCCGGGCAGUGGGCCUCUUUGCAGGCCAGGACCUGUGGGUGUCUUCUCCAUGGCGCCCCCGUUCCUGGCACUGAGCCUGGGACACAGUGGAUGUCCAGAUGUGUGGCUGAACCAUCAUCCUUUUCUCUCAAUUGUAGGGUGGUGAGUGAAUUGAAUUAUUUAAAACUUAGCACUUUGGCUAAGGGGCCUGCUUGGCAGGCCUGAAUGUGUGAUUGGUGUACUAAUGCUGCUUUCUGUGCGGUCACUGGUGGCGAGUGUUUUACACUUUCAUGAAAACUACAGGACAGAGGUCUGAAAGGCAUUGCGGCUUCGUGGGCUGGUGGAGAGAAACACUAGCCCACCCGCCCCCCACCCCUGCCCACCCAUCCUGUUAUUGUCUGGCUUUCACUUGGUGUGAGAGGUUUUUCCUCUCCAGAUCUCAGUUUCCUCAUUUGUCAAAGCAGCUCGGGGCUAGACAGCCUCUAACUUCUCUGCCCACUCUACAAACCAGGAAAAAAUGCUUAAAAAUGUAAACAUGAGGGACUCCCCUGACGGCCAAGUGGUUAAGACUCUUCACUUCCACUGCAGGGGAUAUUGUUUGAUCUCUGAUCAGGGAACUAAGAUCCCACAUGUCUCAGGACAUACGCCCAACUAGAGAGGCCCACACACUACAAGGAAGAGUCAGCCCCCUCCACACAGACAAAUAAAAACCUCUUAGGAAACAGAUGCAACUGCUAUGUGAGGAGCUGGCAUUACCAUUCAGAGAGACUGAGAAUACGGAAGAACACAUUUGUGGAGCACAAACUAGAAGGAAGGGGUCGGGCAGAAGGUACUGGGAUUAGGGAGAGGACUUGUAUUUCAUCCAUCCAUCCAACCAUCCAUCCAUCCAUUCAAGGCCUUUUUAUAACUUCCUGUGCCCAGGAUGGUGCCAUGUCUUAAGGAAACUGAGAUUAAGAAGACAAGGACUCCUGGUACCAAGGAGGAGCCUGAUUUCAGCGGGGUAUUUGCUGUGGGAGCACGGAAGGUUGGUGAUUGAGCUGAGAUAUUAGGGUCUAGAUCUGCGCCUUUCUUGGAAACUGUUUACAGUUCUUUUAAGAGGACACACUGGCAAGAAAAGCCAGUUAGAGGAUGUAAAUGUUGCCCUCCUGGGUGUAAUGGGGCACUUCUAUUUUUUUCUGGGAGGUCAUGCCACUCACAAUCUAAGAAACUGGUGAACUGAGCUUCAUAUUUUGACUAACUGUGAACCAGAGAGAUGUCAGAAGUAGGGAGUCUUGUAGAAAACAAGUGACUGUAUCAUUUUUAGAUGAGAGUGUAGGUACUGAUGUAAAUUCUUGACUGGUUUUCACCUCAGAUUGGUCUUUAUAAUGAGUUACAGAGAAUUCUUUGAAAUGAGCACAUUUCUGAUAGUAAGCUAGUAGGUGUUUGCUAAAGGGGUUGAAAACAAGCAAUUUAAAUGUGUCGUCUAAAUACAGGGCUGGAAAGCAAGAUGUAGAACUGUGCAGACAACUUCUUUCCCAUUAUGUUUAGGAGGGGAAAAAAGAUCAGAGAAAAUGGAAGGGAAGGAAAUAUGCUGAACUGUUAACAGCAGGUGAGUCUGGCAGGAUUGUGUGUGUGUGCGUGCCCAGUCGCUCAGUCAUGUCCAGCGUUUUGUGACCCCAUGGACUGUAGCCUGCCAGGUUCUUCUGUCCAUUGGACUUCCCAGGCAAGAAUACUGGAGGCCAUUUCCUCCUCCAGGGGCUCUUCCCGACCCAGGGAUCGAACCUGUGUCCCCUGUAUUGGUGGGCAGGUUCUUUACCACUGAGCCACCUGGGAAGCUCCAUGGGAUCAUGAGUUUCUCUUUUCUUUUUUUUUUUUUUUGUGUGUGUUGCUCUACAUUCUAAAAUUUCACCCAUGGGCCUAUAUUUGUUUUGCAAUUGGGAGGAAAAAAAAGGUUUUAAAAAGGAACCUCAAGAAGGCAUUCCUCUGAUAAUCUUGUUUAUCCUCUUAAUUUACUUAGCAAAGUUUCUUUUUAUAGUCAGACUGGCUGGAACCCAUAAAUUCCAUACUUGUGAUGAUUUGAAUUAAUGGAAAUCUAUCAUACUACAUUAUUAGAAUUUGUUAAUCUCAUCUAAAUUCAAUACUGAGUAACUCUAUUAACUUGGAUAUAAAAAAUUCAUUCCAUUCUGGAACCCAUAUUCUUUCCUUGAAUAAUUAUUAAAUGAUUUGUUGACUGAAAAAAAAAUUCAUUCCAAGUCUCCAAAGGAAUUCACCAUUUCAACAUGGCAGGGGUAGAGUUUGUAUAUGAUCUAGCAGGUGCUGCUUGGAUCUGGGCAUUCACUUUGUGUCUUGACCUGGACGGAGGCUUCGAGCAUCCUGCUGUGCUGACGCUGUGUGUUUUAAUGAGGUGGUUUGAUGUCCUCAGACCUACCUGUCCCCGCUUUUCCUUCUCUGUUCUCAUCACCGAGUGCUCAUGCAAUGGCCUUCUUCCAGGAAUAAUCUUCUUUACUAUUUGUCUCUCAUGCUGUUGUUUUUCAGCUCCUGUUUUUGAAAAUAACUCUUUUGGUACCCCAUCCGGGCUCUUCCUUCCUGACUCCCCCCAAAUGGAACUGCUGGUCUUCAGCUAUGAAUUGAAGGACUCCCAGGGAUGGUCCUGCCCCCUGCCCCCUGCCUUUGCUGCUCCAGCCUUGGAUUUGGGUUGAUGUUGGGUUGACUUGACUUGACCUUGGGCUCUCAUUGGAUUGACUGUCUUUACUUAUGGGCUGGUGAGCAGGGCCAUCUUAGUACUUCUUAGGGCCAUGCCUGACUUUCAGUGGCGUCCCUCCAAAAGGCUUCUUAGGCUGUUAUUCCCAUCAUUUUUCAGGGGUUUAAUCUGUCUGAGUCCAGGAUAUUGAGUCAGCAGUGGAAAGUUAUGAAGGCGAAGCCAGCCAUCAGAGAAAUUGGCUAAUAUAAGAUUAAUUUCAGAGUGAAUGAAGGGAGGGAUGCUUGGGGGCUGGGCUGUCUCUCUAGGCAAAUAAUAUUGCUAUAAAAUGUGAGAAAUCAGAGGCUGCCUCUGCUACUCGCUUAGUGCCGGCUUAUAGUUUCUUGGAUAAUCUAGUGCCCAUAUUUAUGAUCUUGAGAAAAAAUAUAAUUGCCAGCAAAAUUACAUGCACAUCUGGUUAAUUAUUUCAGAAUACUCACCAUGAGGAAAUCAUAUUUUAAAAAAAUUAGUCUGGCUCCUGUGUUCUGAAAUUGUUAUUUUUGAAAGCCAGUUGUCAGGUUAUUGUGUCAUUCCACAAGGCAGCAGGAAGGAAGCUCUCCUGUCACUGGAAACAGGUAGGUUACCAUGGAGACUGGGUGUGUCCCGCUGGUUUCCUGGGUAUCUCAUUUGUCCUGGAGAAGGAAUAAACCUCACUUUCUGUGAUAUUCCUGAAAUUGUGUUUGUGAAUUAAAUUUUUCUAAACAAAGGUCCGAUGUUUUAUUGACUUACAAGGGGAUUUCUGACAUAAUUUUGCCCUUCGUUCUGUUUGCUUAAUUUGUAAUGCUGUAUAACCCUUCUUUUCCUAUCGAAAUGCUUAAAAUGCACUGAAGGAACACACAUCCCGAAACAGCAACUGGAAAAAAAAUCUUUUAAUAAAGCUAGGAAUGCUCUCUUCUGUGUGAAUGUGAUUGCCCCUGACAGUUGAACAAAUUAGUUUGAUAAUUCUGUGUCAAAAGCCAAGCUGGGGGAUACACUGAUGAGCAAGAUGGUGGUGGGCCUGCCCUUGUGCAGCUUAUAUUAAGGUUGUGACCCAAGGCAACCGGAAGCCAAGGGGGGCCCUGGUCUGAGCUGCCCUGGUUUAUAUUGUCAGCCGCUGCCAAACCAGGGGCCUUGAACCCUGCUCACUGUCCCACAGGGUGAGGGGGCUGGGCCUUGUUGGAGGGAUGACAUAGCUGCUGACUUGUUUGAGCUGUUUUUAUUCAUGAGCAUUUUCCAGAAUGUGCAACAGUGCUUUAUCAGUCUGCUUAUCAUAAUUUUGUACAUGAAAAAAUUCUAUUCAUGCCUAUUCUUGGGUCUCUCUCCAUCUAAUAGUUUCUAAAGGCAAUCGCUUGAUGGUUAACUGUGUAGAAAGCUCCUUGUACCCCCUGGGUCUUGUCAAAAACCUGGCAGUUUCCUUCCUUGCUUCAUCCCAUUCGUCUUCAGCAUUCUCUGAUCUCACAAAAACAGAGCACCCCGCCCCUGUCCCAGCAUCAGCAGCUGGAGGCCCAUGGUGGGCGUGCCAAGCUCUCUCUCCCACCCUGUGCUUCUUUGCAGUCACUUUCUCAGCAGAGGCACAUCCUCUUCUUAUCCUUCCCUUCUGCAGGUUGGUAAUGAGCACAGGCCUCCUGCAGCCCCACCGCUGGACAGCCCAUUUUGCACAAGCUCCUUAACUGGUUGGGACCUUGACUGGGAUUGUCAGAACCUGAAGAGGCUGCACCUGGUCAUGGAACAGAGUUGGUGACUCUGCUGGGUGUCGGUGAGGCUGAGAAAGUGGCAGACUCCACCCUCUGUGUGUGCUGUGAUUUGAACAGAGAUCUCGGUCUCAUAGCCUCAGAGGAUGCUGUGAUCUGAACAGAGAAACA